rnacentral:misc_RNA from 1 species
AUAAACUGCUACUCUCUACUCUAGUGGAAUAUUGUAAUUUGAUCGAUAGUGAACGAAGUAAUUUCAUUACAUUUUGAUAGAUGGCGUUGUGGCAAAGUAUUGAACAUGACCACAGUCGUCUUAACAUCGUCAUGUAAAUACGUGUCAUCAAAGAUUACUCAAAAAUUGCUCAUUAUAUCUCAAUCAUAUUUAAAAUGGACGACAUGACAAGUAUUAGCUUUUGAUUUAUACAAAAAAGAUCAAAAUCAGUGCACCCAGUAAAAAGAUAUAACGUAUAAUACAACGUAGGGUGACGAAAAUAAUGUCAAGUAAAUACGCGUUAUCAAAGAUUAAUCAAAAAGUAGUUAUCA